GCGGGUGAGUCAGAAGCCCGACCACCCGCGCGGCCCGACCCCGGCGGAUCCGCGAGAGGGCGGACCAGGCGGAUGGCAAAGCGCAAGGCCCCGCUGGGCGGCGGGCACCGGCUCCAGGUUUCCGGGAGGAGGAAGUGCGAGUCUGGGCCGAGGGCUUCCAGGCGAAAGGGCCGGGACUCCUGCAGAGGGGCCUCGGGCCCGCGGGCUCCCUGCUCUGCAGAGCUGGGAUCGCACCUACUUGCGGAGCUGGAGGAGCCGGCGCUGGCACUCGGGGGACAGGCGCUCUAGAACAUUUGUUGAACUCUGCCAUAGACUUUACACAUGGUGGGCCUUUGGGAAUGAGACCAGGCGGAUUCCCCAACCUCCACCCUGACCCCGCAGAGCCUUGAAAAGAAAUAAGCAGGAUCUUUCUUCGGAUCACUCCACUUCUUGUCUGCACUUUGGCCUUGCGGCUAAUACUGUGACCUUGAGCUGCUCCCAAGACUUUUUGGUCCUCCACGGCAACAUGAUUGUGGACACUGAAAAUUCAAAGGAAUCCCCCCAAAAUGACUAGGACGAAUAAGUGUAUUUAACAAGGUCACAAGGAGUUUCCGUCGUGGCGCAGCAGAAAUGAAUCCGACUAGGAACCAGGAGGUUGCGGGUUUGAUCCCUGGCCUCGCUCAGUGGGUUAAGGAUCUGGUGUUGCUGUGGUGUAGGUCGCAGACACUGCUCGGAUCCCGAAGUGCUGUGGUGUAGACCAGUGGCUACUGCUCCGAUUUGACCCCUAGCCUGGGAAACUCCAUAUGCUGCAGGUGCGGCCCUAAAAAAAGACAAAAGAUGAAAAAAAAAAAAAAAA
rnacentral:lncRNA from 1 species